rnacentral:rRNA from 1 species
UAGGGAAUCUUCCGCAAUGGGCGAAAGCCUGACGGAGCAACGCCGCGUGAGUGAAGAAGGAUUUCGGUUCGUAAAGCUCUGUUGUUAGGGAAGAAUGAUUGUGCAGUAACUAUACACAGUAGAGACGGUACCUAACCAGAAAGCCACGGCUAACUACGUGCCAGCAGCCGCGGUAAUACGUAGGUGGCAAGCGUUGUCCGGAAUUAUUGGGCGUAAAGCGCGCGCAGGUGGUUUAAUAAGUCUGAUGUGAAAGCCCACGGCUCAACCGUGGAGGGUCAUUGGAAACUGUUAAACUUGAGUGCAGGAGAGAAAAGUGGAAUUCCUAGUGUAGCGGUGAAAUGCGUAGAGAUUAGGAGGAACACCAGUGGCGAAGGCGGCUUUUUGGCCUGUAACUGACACUGAGGCGCGAAAGCGUGGGGAGCAAACAGGAUUAGAUACCCUGGUAGUCCACGCCGUAAACGAUGAGUGCUAAGUGUUGGUCUCAUAAGAGAUCAGUGCUGCAGCUAACGCAUUAAGCACUCCGCCUGGGGAGUACGACCGCAAGGUUG